rnacentral:rRNA from 1 species
ACUGCCUUACAGUGGUUUUGAGGGGUAACAGGGAAUCAGGGGUCGAUUCCGGAGAGGGAGCCUGAGAAACGGCUACCACUUCUAAGACGGAGUUAGUAAAAGAAAAUAAUGAAGCCGGACUCAUCCGAGGCCCAGUUUUCGGAAUGAAAACACUUUAAAUCCUUUAAAGAUAACCCAUUGGAAGGCAAGUCUGUUGCCAUCAGUUCCAAUAGCAUAUAUUAAAGCUAUUACGGUUAAGAAAGCUCGUACUUGGAUUUCCGCGAGUAAAGAAGGGUUCAUCUUACUUGAUGUAUCUCUUGUCUUGUCUUGGGUUUAUUUUCGACAAAGGUCUUGAUGGUGCCUUUCAAUAGGUGUCUCGGGAUACUGUCGGGUUUACUUUGACAAAAUUAGAGGCAUUUAAAAGCUUGGAUAUUAGUGCAUUGAAUAAUACAUUAGGAAGGCGUUUCUAUUUUGUUGGAUUUAGGAAAUCGACUUACUGAUUGAUAGGGAGAGGGUGGGGGAUAUUAGCAUUUAGAAGCCAGAGGUGGCAUUCUUGGACUGUCAGAAGACUAACUACUGAGAAAGCAUUUGUGAAGAAUCUUUUUCAGUAGUCAAGAACGAA